CCCUGGGCCACUCAUGCCCUCUGGAUUCUGUUUUCAUUCCAGGCUGUGGAUCCGGUCGUGGGAAGCAGGUGCAAGAGCCUGCGGGGAUGAACCCCACUGAAUCUGAGCAGCCCGUCCUGUGUUCCUGGCCACCAGGACAUGUGCACCCCAGGCUUUGAUGAGACCCCCCCAGACUCGGAUCCUACAUUGCCUGUCCCCACGGGACCAGGGGACUCUCAGCCCUUCCCACAAAGGUUCCAGCCUUCAUCCACAGGGACUCCAAAACAUGCAUCUGUCAGGUGAGUUACAGGACCAGAACCUUGGGAGAGGACAUGCCGAGCAAGCUACUGAGAAAACUGAAAUAAAAUGAAUUC